GGCUCAGAUUGAACGCUAGCGGCAUGCUUUACACAUGCAAGUCGAACGGUAACAGGCCUUCGGGUGCUGACGAGUGGCGAACGGGUGAGUAAUGCAUCGGAACGUGCCCAAUCGUGGGGGAUAACGUAGCGAAAGUUACGCUAAUACCGCAUAAGCCCUGAGGGGGAAAGCAGGGGAUCGCAAGACCUUGCGCGAAUGGAGCGGCCGAUAUCAGAUUAGCUAGUUGGUGAGGUAAAGGCUCACCAAGGCGACGAUCUGUAGCGGGUCUGAGAGGAUGAUCCGCCACACUGGAACUGAGACACGGUCCAGACUCCUACGGGAGGCAGCAGUGGGGAAUUUUGGACAAUGGGCGCAAGCCUGAUCCAGCCAUGCCGCGUGAGUGAAGAAGGCCUUCGGGUUGUAAAGCUCUUUCGGCCGGGAAGAAAUCGCACAGGUUAAUACCCUGUGUGGAUGACGGUACCGGAAUAAGAAGCACCGGCUAACUACGUG
rnacentral:rRNA from 1 species